rnacentral:rRNA from 1 species
UACGAAGGGUGCAAGCGUUACUCGGAAUUACUGGGCGUAAAGCGUGCGUAGGUGGUUUGUUAAGUCUGAUGUGAAAGCCCUGGACUCAACCUGGGAAUUGCAUUGGAUACUGGCAGGCUAGAGUGCGGUAGAGGAUGGCGGAAUUCCCGGUGUAGCAGUGAAAUGCGUAGAGAUCGGGAGGAACAUCUGUGGCGAAGGCGGCCAUCUGGACCAGCACUGACACUGAGGCACGAAAGCGUGGGGAGCAAACAGG